rnacentral:rRNA from 1 species
UACGUAGGGUGCGAGCGUUAAUCGGAAUUACUGGGCGUAAAGCGUGCGCAGGCGGUUUUUCAAGUCCGUUGUGAAAGCCCCGGGCUCAACCUGGGAAUGGCAGUGGAAACUGGGGGACUGGAAUCUGGCAGAGGGGGGUGGAAUGCCGCGUGUAGCAGUGAAAUGCGUAGAUAUCAGGAGGAACACCUGUGGCGAAAGCGGCGCACUGGACCACAACUGACGCUGAGGCGCGAAAGCUAGGGGAGCAAACAGG